UUCCUAUUGUGUGCAAUGACUCAGGUAUCCAGGUGAGGAAAUACAGACAGACUUCCUUGUAGGAGUAUCAUCUUCCCCCUCCCUGACUCUCCUGCCGUGUGUAUAAAAAGCAGAGACAGGUUUCCUUCCCACACUGUUGUGCUCCUUACCGCAGAGACACCUUUGUGUUUGCAGCUCUCCCUGAAACUAUGGCUAAGAAGGUGGCAGUGAUCCUUGCUGGCUGUGGGGUUUAUGAUGGCAGUGAGAUUCACGAGUCGUCGGCUGUAUACGUUCACCUUAGCAGAGCCGGAGCUCAGACUGAAUUUUUUGCCCCAAACAUAGAUCAGAUGCACGUAGUGAAUCACAUCAAAGGGCUGCCCACAGAAGAUAAACGUAAUGUGCUUGAGGAGAGCGCACGGAUUGCAAGAGGGAAUAUCAAAGACCUUAAAGAUCUUGACGUUAGUGAAUAUGAUGCAGUUAUUAUACCAGGAGGUUUUGGAGUUGCCAAAAACCUUUCUACCUGGGCUGUGAAAGGAAAGGAUUGUUCAGUUGCAAAAGAGGUUGAAGCAGUUAUCAAAGGAUUCCAUGGAGCCAAGAAACCCAUCGGUUUGUGCUGUAUCUCCCCCGUACUGGCUGCAAAGCUCUUUCCUGGAUGUGAACUGACUGUCGGCUGUGAUACAGAGUGUGAAAAGUGGCCAUAUGCAGGCACAGCAGCUGCCAUUAAGGAGCUCGGCUGCAAGCACAUCAACAAGCAAGUGAGUGAAGUCCAUGUGGAUGCAAAGAACAAGUUGGUCACCACCAGCGCCUUUAUGUGUAACAGUCCAGUUCAUGAGAUUUAUGACGGCAUUGGGGAAAUGGUGAAAUCCGUUCUGAAGCUAACAAAUUGAUAACAGUAUUCACAAUAGUUAUUUAAAAUGUGUAUUUAUAUAUCAUACAAUAAAAUUGCAUCCUUUCACCAGAA